CCUACGGGGGGCUGCAGUAGGGAAUAUUGCACAAUGGGGGAAACCCUGAUGCAGCAACGCCGCGUGGGCGACGAAGGCCUUCGGGUUGUAAAGCCCUUUUCUGGGGGAAGAGGAAGGACGGUACCCCAGGAACAAGUCUCGGCUAACUACGUGCCAGCAGCCGCGGUAAGACGUAGGAGGCGAGCGUUAUCCGGAUUUACUGGGCGUAAAGGGCAAGUAGGCGGCGGUUCAAGUUGGACGUGACAUCUCCCGGCUCAACUGGGAGGGGUCGUUCAAAACUGGGUCGCUGGAGGGCAGGAGAGGGAAGCGGAAUUCCUGGUGUAGCGGUGGAAUGCUCAGAUACCAGGAGGAACACCAGUGGCGAAGGCGGCUUCCUGGCCUGUACCUGACGCUGAGAGGCGAAAGCCAGGGGAGCGAACGGGCUUAGAUACCCCAGUAGUC
rnacentral:rRNA from 1 species